ACUGCCAAAGAGAUGCCGAGCAAAGUCUCAGUCAUGAUUAAUUUAUUCCUUCAAGUCUAAAACUAUCGCGAGAUUUCAGCAUUUUAAUUUUUGCUCUCUCCUUUCUCUCUUUUAGGGUUUCAACAGCAACAACAGUCUUCCUCCACCUUCUCCGCCUCUACCGUCGUGAAAUCAUCGUCACCUUCUAUUACUUCAGUAGAGCAGGUGAUUCGGCUCUCGCCGUCGCCGUAAAGUUCUUCAUGUGUCAUGCCUUUUCGGUUACUAUUCCGUGGUCGAUCGCCAGGAGAAGAAGAAGAGGAUGCUAUUCUCGUAUGAAUCUUCUUUCUUACUUUGAUGAUUUUUUAGUUUUUGUAAUUUUUAGGUUUCCGUGCUUUUUAAUUUUAGUACUUUCUGUUCAAAUUUUUGACUCGUUUUGUGUGAUUUGGUUUGAAUUGCUAAUUUUGACAUUCAAAUGAAAUCGAAGCUGUACCAAUUUGAUGAGGAAGGGGAUCAGUGGAAGAAAAGGGGAGCAGUAAGUGUGAAGUUGUUAAAGCAUGUCUUGUAAUAGGAAAAGUAAUAAUAAAUUUUGGAUCAACGUGGUUGCAUCUGUUCAACAUCGAGAUUAUGGAUCAACAUUGUACUUACCGUCUCAUCUGACAAAUCCGCAAAGAUAUGGGAAAUUUUGGAAAUUGGGGAUGGAAGUGUGAAGAAAGCAUAGGAAUGUCCUGGUUCCGGUGGAGUAGAUGACAUGCUAAUCGAAUGCCUUUGGCAAAAUGACACUCUUUGUUAUACUUGUCGAUCCUUCUCUAUUCAUUUUCACUUUCUUAUACAAAAUUGGAUUACUCUGACAUCACAGUAUGUGUCAGUGUACUAAUUUGUAUUUGACUGUACGUUAUUGAUUAAACUGUUUGAUAAAUUAAUUGCUCAAUUAAUGUCAGGUUGAGCUUCGAAUAUUUGAUGGAUUGGUGAAGGAAAGAACACAAUGUGCUCCAAAUGGAUGCUAUUUCAUUCCAGUAUAUGAAUGAAACCAUCAUGCUUAGAUGGAUAAGGUUUUUGUGUAUUAUUAAUGCUUACCAUCACAUCAAUUUUAUGAUAUAUUUAAUCUUAAUUAUUCUGUUUGUUUUCCUUUGUUCAAUUUUAUGUUGGUACAUGGAAAUUCAUACUUCUUGGAGUAUGUAUUAGUGCGUACUGACUUGGAUACCUUGGUAUGAUCAAUUUGCUUGACAUUUUUAUCAAUGUUUUUGUUUUCCCUCUUUAGUCUUUUGAAAAACUUUCAAUUGUGGAUACUGGACGAUUAUGGAAUCGAUGUUUUUCAUAUUCCAUUUUAACAUUAUACAAUGCUUCAAAGAGGACAUCAAAUCACUUUUACAGCUUGUUUAUUAUACUUAUACUUAGUCAAGACUCUUCUUUUAAUGCAAGCAUUCACAAGAUGGUGACAUUGCUUUUUCAUGGUUUAUGGCAGGUUGUAUAUGCUGUAAUGCACAGGCAGGAGAUUUUUCAGCCAUUUAAGAAUCAUCCACGUUUCAGUGAACUAAUUAAAAAUAUAUACAUGGUAUCUUUUAAGAAAAAUUUACCAUCUUAAUUUCUGAUGAUACUCGAUGCUCCUGACUGGCCACUUUUUGAGUACCUAAACUUUACUUUGCGUUGUUGUCUUUUGAAUGCAUUUAACACUUUUGACCUUGACAAGUUUUGGAUUUUUUCAAUAGUUGCAUGGAUGCUCAAACACACGAUGGGGAAUGGUCAGUAAAGAAAGUCCUCCAACUUAUUAUUAUCAAUUGUCAAUCAUGGUGAGGUGAAGCGAUGAAGUAUGAAAUAGAUGGAAGAGACCCUAAGGGAUAUGUCGGUUGCCUGUGGUCGAUUUGUGGUGUUCAUGACCAGGUUUCGUUCAUUGGCAUAAUCAAUUGCUCUAUUUGUUUCUAUUACAUAAUCAUUAUCAUUGCUGAUGACCUCUUAUAUAGCGUUUUUAAGGGUUGGAGAGAAAGACCGGUUUUUGGGAAAAUUAUGUACAUGAAUAAUGCAGGCUGCAAGAGGAAGUUUGAUGUUGAUGGCUACAUUGCUUAUGUGAAGAGUUUAGUAAAUGAAAUGAAGAAGAAAAAAUUAGAUCACCAAGUGAUUUUGUAGAUUUUGGUGAUGUAUUAUAUCUAUUCGAUGGAUUAUAUUUUGCACAAUUAUGUUAUGAUGUAAUAGAUGGAUGGAUAUUUUGUAUGGAUGGAUAUUUUGCCCAUUUAUGUCGUGAUGUAAUAGAUGAAUUUUUUCCGUUUUU